UAACACAUGCAAGUCGAGCGCGAAAGCCACCUUCGGGUGGUGAGUAGAGCGGCGGACGGGUGAGUAACGCGUGAACAACCUACCCCCAAGACCGGGAUAACACCGGGAAACUGGUGCUAAUACCGGAUAAACUUGCAUACCGCAUGGUGUGCAAGCAAAGGGGUUUACCGCUUGGGGAUGGGUUCGCGUCCCAUUAGCUAGUUGGUGAGGUAACGGCUCACCAAGGCGACGAUGGGUAGCCGGCCUGAGAGGGUGUACGGCCACACUGGGACUGAGACACGGCCCAGACUCCUACGGGAGGCAGCAGUGGGGAAUAUUGGGCAAUGGGGGAAACCCUGACCCAGCGACGCCGCGUGGGUGAAGAAGGCCUUCGGGUUGUAAAGCCCUGUCACGGGGGACGAUAGUGACGGUACCCUGGGAGGAAGCCCCGGCUAACUACGUGCCAGCAGCCGCGGUAACACGUAGGGGGCGAGCGUUGUCCGGAAUUACUGGGCGUAAAGGGCGCGUAGGCGGUUAGCCGUGUCAGGUGUGAAAGGCUGGGGCUUAACCCCAGACCUGCACUUGAGACUGGCUAACUUGAGGGCAGGAGAGGCAGGUGGAAUUCCUGGUGUAGCGGUGAAAUGCGUAGAUAUCAGGAGGAACACCGGUGGCGAAGGCGACCUGCUGGACUGGCCCUGACGCUGAGGCGCGAAAGCGUGGGGAGCGAACAGGAUUAGAUACCCUGGUAGUCCACGCUGUAAACGAUGGGUACUAGGUGUAGGGGGUUAUGAUACCCUCUGUGCCGUAGCUAACGCGAUAARUACCCCGCCUGGGGAGUACGGCCGCAAGGUUGAAACUCA
rnacentral:rRNA from 1 species